ACCCUCAAUCGGUACAGAAGCCAUGCUAGUGAAGUUAAAAUUAUCACGAAGAUGCAUGUGCUCACCUAGAUGGGUUCCAGAAGGACCACUAGUGACAGGUGAUGAUAAUCAAGUAGGGAUCUAAAACUGCGCCUAUACUUAGGAGAAUGGGAACGACGACAAUUCCAAAUGAAAAAAUUCAUAAGAGAAUUAUUUGGAGGGGUCGAGUGGAGUUCAGUGACUAAAGAGUUCUCCUGUUGAAUUAGAACACGUGCAAAUUUGCCCACAUACUGAUUGGUUGUGAUUUGUUUAGAUUUGGCGG
rnacentral:lncRNA from 1 species